AGUGGGAAAGCUGGGUCAAAUGGUGUUUCCAUUCACAAUUUUCUGAGAAAUCUCCAUUCUGCUUUCCAUAAUGGUGCAACAAUUUGCAGUCCCUCCAGCAAU
rnacentral:pre_miRNA from 1 species